GGCGGUAACCCUUCUGAGCUAAGUAAGGUAGGGGUUUGAAGGGCAUCUUAGUGCGAGAAUCUGCUUUCUGUCUACAAAGUGAAGUGGUUAAGGUGUGAUGAGUGUUUUUGCAAGCAUUUUUCAUUAACCCAACCACGUACACCUGAGACAAGGCCCAUCUACCAUGGUACAAGGGUUCUACACCUCUAAAUGAGCCCUUGUUGUUUUGUCUAUCACUCCUGAGCUA
rnacentral:siRNA from 1 species